rnacentral:rRNA from 1 species
GGACCCCACUGCUAUCGGGGUAGGACUAAGCCAUGCGAGUCGAGCGUCUCCGAGCCGACGGCGGAGACGCGGCGGACGGCUCCGUAACACGUAGCCAACCUACCUUCGGGACGGGGAUAACCCCGGGAAACUGGGGCUAAUCCCCGAUAGGCAAGGAGGCCUGGAAUGGUCCCUUGCCCAAAGGGCGUUGGAACCGCGCUUCCAACGCCGCCCGAAGAUGGGGCUGCGGCCGAUCAGGUAGUUGGUGGGGUAACGGCCCACCAAGCCUAUAACCGGUACGGGCCGUGAGAGCGGGAGCCCGGAGAUGGGCACUGAGACAAGGGCCCAGGCCCUACGGGGCGCAGCAGGCGCGAAACCUCCGCAAUGCGCGAAAGCGCGACGGGGUUACCCCGAGUGCCGUCCGCUGAGGACGGCUUUUCCCCGGUGUAAUGAGCCGGGGGAAUAAGGGGAGGGCAAGCCUGGUGUCAGCCGCCGCGGUAAUACCAGCUCCCCGAGUGGUGGGGACGAUUAUUGGGCCUAAAGCGUCCGUAGCCGGCCCGGCAAGUCUCCCGUUAAAUCCAACGAUCUAAUCGUUGGGCUGCGGGAGAUACUGUCGGGCUAGGGGGCGGGAGAGGCCGGCGGUAUUCCCGGGGUAGGGGUGAAAUCCUAUAAUCCCGGGAGGACCACCAGUGGCGAAGGCGGCCGGCUGGAACGCGCCCGACGGUGAGGGACGAAAGCUGGGGGAGCGAUCCGGAUUAGAUACCCGGGUAGUCCCAGCCGUAAACGAUGCAGGCUAGGUGUUGGCGUGGCUACGAGUCACGCCAGUGCCGCAGGGAAGCCGUUAAGCCUGCCGCCUGGGGAGUACGGUCGCAAGACUGAAACUUAA